rnacentral:rRNA from 1 species
UACGUAGGGUGCAAGCGUUGUCCGGAAUUAUUGGGCGUAAAGAGCUCGUAGGCGGUCUGUCGCGUCGGCUGUGAAAUCCCGAGGCUCAACCUCGGGUCUGCAGUCGAUACGGGCAAACUAGAGUAUUGCAGGGGAGACUGGAAUUCCUGGUGUAGCGGUGAAAUGCGCAGAUAUCAGGAGGAACACCGGUGGCGAAGGCGGGUCUCUGGGCAAUAACUGACGCUGAGGCGCGAAAGCGUGGGGAGCAAACAGG